rnacentral:rRNA from 1 species
AACCUCCGCAAUGUGAGAAAUCGCGACGGGGGGAUCCCAAGUGCCAUUCUUAACGGGAUGGCUUUUCAUUAGUGUAAAGAGCUUUUGGAAUAAGGGCUGGGCAAGACCGGUGCCAGCCGCCGCGGUAACACCGGCAGCUCUAGUGGUAGCAGUUUUUAUUGGGCCUAAAGCGUCCGUAGCCGGUUUAAUAAGUCUCUGGUGAAAUCCUGUAGCUUAACUGUGGGAAUUGCUGGAGAUACUAUUAGACUUGAGACCGGGAGAGGUUAGAGGUACUCCCAGGGUAGAGGUGAAAUUCUGUAAUCCUGGGAGGACCGCCUGUUGCGAAGGCGUCUAACUGGAACGGUUCUGACGGUGAGGGACGAAAGUUAGGGGCGCGAACCGGAUUAGAUACCCGGGUAGUCCUAACUGUAAACGAUGCGGAUUUGGUGUUGGGGUGGCUUUGAGCUGCUCCAGUGCCGAAGGGAAGCUGUUAAGUCCGCCGCCUGGGAAGUACGGUCGCAAGACUGAAACUUAAAGGAAUU